CGGCAACCCUUUGACCUGGAUUCAAGCCCCCACGAUGGACACCACUUGCCGAGACCAGCUUGGUUGGGGAUACCCUAACCCAGCAGCACUAGAGGAAUUAAACACACACACAGAAAUAUAGAGAUGAAGAUCCUUGGCGUUGGAGAGGCAGAGACUCAAAGAUUGGCUUCUAAUAUUCUUCCUAUCCUCCCUUAAGAGCCCAGCUGAUGUGCUUGUAACCAGAUCUGCUGAGCUGGGGAGACUGAAGCUUCUUUGGUGGCUCAGUUGUGCGUCAGCCACUUGCUCAAAUGAUCAGCUACCUCCACGUAACUCAAUCCGUGCAUAGUUCCUCCUCCUACCACUAGGCUUCUUUUAGAAAAUUAAAUACAUUUUUUUUUAAUUUCCUGAAGCUUUGUCACUUUUUAGCAUACACUCAAGAAUUA
rnacentral:lncRNA from 1 species